CUGCGGAACCAAAAGGAAGCUUCUCAGAGCAGGAGCCAGGAUCCCCAGGUGCCUCCCAGCAGCAAACACCGAAGGAGCUCUGUGUGUCGUCUGAGCAGCCGCGAGAAGAUUUCUCUCCAAGACCUGUCCAAGGAGCGCCGGCCUGGGGGGGCGGGGGGGCCCCCCAUACAGGACGAGGAAGAAGGAGAAGAAGGCCCGGCAGAGCCAUCCCCUACAGAAUCCAGAACCGUCAACGGUGUCUCUUCCCCGCCGCCCGCUAGUCCUCAGAGCCCCAAGG